AUCUGGACGAGCGCUCGCGUUGCAGCUCUUUGGUGACGGUCAGCAGAGGAGAAGGUAUUCAGAUCCGUUACUGAGAUCAAAACAGCGAACACGACAGACUGAGCUGCAUUCCCCUCAGGUGAUGACGGAGAUAAUCCACGAGCAGCCGAGCACAGACGAUAAGGUCGGACUCACACUGACACACACGCGCACACACACACGCAUGCACUCACAAUGGCCUCGUCUCAAAUGUACGCGCACAACCACAGCUCUAAUCCUCCCUGCAUGAUUGACAGAUGAGAGGGGGGGGCGUUAAGUGGCAGGGUGACAGCAUAAUGACAGUUCUUAGGAA
ensembl:lncRNA